GAUCCUGGCUCAGGAUGAACGCUGGCGGCGUGCCUAACACAUGCAAGUCGAGCGAAGCAUUUUAAAAGGAAAGUUUUCGGUAUGGAAUUUGAAAUGACUGAGCGGGCGGACGGGUGAGUAACGCGUGGGUAACCUGCCUCAUACAGGGGGGAUAACAGUUAGAAAUGCUGCUAAUACCGCAUAAGCACACAGUACCGCAUGGUACAGUGUGAAAAACCUCCGGUGGUAUGAGAUGGACCCCGGCGUU
rnacentral:rRNA from 1 species